rnacentral:misc_RNA from 1 species
GCACUAUUCUAUUCAUUUUCAUAAUAGAGAAGUGUACUCUGAACAUAAGAUUUUUAUCCAUUCCCAAUUCCUCUUAAUUUAUUACCACCUAGCUUGGAAGGCAAAUACAAAUGUUUUAUUUAUUGUACCUUUAGCCAAAUCAGCCAAUUUUGCAUAUUUAGCCUUGUACUCCAAAGCUUAUUAAUAGAUUUCCCUAAUAGAUUAACAAAG